AACAGGAUUAGAUACCCUGGUAGUCCACACUGUAAACGAUGAUAACUCGCUGUCGGCGAUACACAGUCGGUGGCCAAGCGAAAGCAUUAAGUUAUCCACCUGGGGAGUACGACCGCAAGGUUGAAACUCAAAGGAAUUGACGGGGGCCCGCACAAGCGGAGGAACGUGUGGUUUAAUUCGAUGAUACGCGAGGAACCUUACCCGGGCUCGAACGGUGCAUGAAUAUACGAGAGAUUGUAUAGUCCUUCGGGACAUGUAUCGAGGUGCUGCAUGGUUGUCGUCAGCUCGUGCCGUGAGGUGUCGGCUUAAGUGCCAUAACGAGCGCAACCCUUGUCAUUAGUUGCCAUCAGGUCAAGCUGGGGACUUUAAUGAGACUGCCACCGUAAGGUGUGAGGAAGGGGGGGAUGACGUCAAAUCAGCACGGCCCUUAUGUCCGGGGCGACACACGUGUUACAAUGGGAGGUACAGAGGGCAGCUAUCCGGUGACGGAAUGCUAAUCUCCAAAACCUUUCUCAGUUCGGAUUGGAGUCUGCAACUCGACUCCAUGAAGGUGGAUUCGCUAGUAAUCGCGCAUCAGCCAUGGCGCGGUGAAUACGUUCCCGGGCCUUGUACACACCGCCCGUCAAGCCAUGGAAGCUUGGGGUGCCUGAAGUUCGUGACCGCAAGGAGCGACCUAAGGCAAAACAGGUAACUGGGGCUAAGUCGUAACAAGGUAACC
rnacentral:rRNA from 1 species